UGGGGGAUAUUGCACAAUGGGCGAAAGCCUGAUGCAGCGACGCCGCGUGGGGGAUGAAGGCUUUCGGGUUGUAAACCUCUUUCGCUAUCGAACAAGGCCCGCUUAGGGUGGGUUGAGGGUUGGUGGAGAAGAAGCGCCGGCUAACUACGUGCCAGCAGCCGCGGUAAUACGUAGGGCGCGAGCGUUGUCCGGAAUUAUUGGGCGUAAAGGGCUUGUAGGCGGCUUGUUGCGCCUGCUGUGAAAACGCGGGGCUUAACUUCGCGCGUGCAGUGGGUACGGGCAGGCUUGAGUGUGGUAGGGGUGACUGGAAUUACAGGUGUAGCGGUGGAAUGCGCAGAUAUCUGGAGGAACACCGAUGGCGAAGGCAGGUCACUGGGCCAAUACUGACGCUGAGGAGCGAAAGCAUGGGUAGCGAACAGG
rnacentral:rRNA from 1 species